rnacentral:rRNA from 1 species
CGACCUCGCGAGAGCAAGCGAACCUCAUAAAGUGCGUCGUAGUCCGGAUUGGAGUCUGCAACWCGACUCCAUGAAGUCGGAAUCGCUAGUAAUCGUGGAUCAGAAUGCCACGGUGAAUACGUUCCCGGGCCUUGUACACACCGCCCGUCACACCAUGGGAGUGGGUUGCAAAAGAAGUAGGUAGCUUAACCUUCGGGAGGGCGCUUACCACUUUGUGAUUCAUGACUGGGGUGAAGUCGUAACAAGGUAACCGUAGGGGAACCUGCGGUUGGAUCACCUCCUUACCUUAAAGAA